rnacentral:rRNA from 1 species
AGAAGCUUGCUUCUCUGAUGUUAGCGGCGGACGGGUGAGGACACGUGGAUAACCCACCUAUAAGACUGGGAUAACUUCGGGAAACCGGAGCUAAUACCCGGAUAAUAUUUUGAACCGCAUGGUUCAAAAGUGAAAGACGGUCUUGCUGUCACUUAUAGAUGGAUCCGCGCUGCAUUAGCUAGUUGGUAAGGUAAACGGCUUACCAAGGCAACGAUGCACAGCCGACCUGAGAGGGUGAUCGGCCACACUGGAACUGAGACACGGUCCAGACUCCUACGGGAGGCAGCAGUAGGGAAUCUUCCGCAAUGGGCGAAAGCCUGACGGGGCAACGCCGCGUGAGUGAUGAAGGUCUUCGGAUCGUAAAACUCUGUUAUUAGGGAAGAACAUAUGUGUAAGUAACUGUGCACAUCUUGACGGUACCUAAUCAGAAAGCCACGGCUAACUACGUGCCAGCAGCCGCGGUAAUACGUAGGUGGCAAGCGUUAUCCGGAAUUAUUGGGCGUAAAGCGCGCGUAGGCGGUUUUUUAAGUCUGAUGUGAAAGCCCACGGCUCAACCGUGGAGGGUCAUUGGAAACUGGAAAACUUGAGUGCAGAAGAGGAAAGUGGAAUUCCAUGUGUAGCGGUGAAAUGCGCAGAGAUAUGGAGGAACACCAGUGGCGAAGGCGACUUUCUGGUCUGUAACUGACGCUGAUGUGCGAAAGCGUGGGGAUCAAACAGGAUUAGAUACCCUGGUAGUCCACGCCGUAAACGAUGAGUGCUAAGUGUUAGGGGGUUUCCGCCCCUUAGUGCUGCAGCUAACGCAUUAAGCACUCCGCCUGGGGAGUACGACCGCAAGUUG